rnacentral:lncRNA from 1 species
UAGUCAACUACAUUUUUCGGAUUUAAGUAGCGAUAUUGAGAUUCAAAAUGGUUUCAUUGUCUUUUAAACCUCCUGUGCCACGGCAAAGUACUCGAGGUAAAUGUUGUUUUAGUUUUUACUUUCAUAAUCAAGAAUUGACGACACAAAAAUUACUAUUGAUAUAAUUGAUUUUUUGCCGCGUAUUUUACUGGCUAAUGCUUGAUAUUUUUCCUGAAAUGGCUGAAAAUGACCAACAAUAUUUAGAUAUUCCAUCGUCGAGUGGCAUCGAUGGUCGUAUUGUUACUUUUUUUUACUAAAUUGCUCAGCUGUACAAUUAUUGCUAAACAUGGAAUUAUUUUGGAUUUUGUGAUGUCAUAAUUUUCAACAAGGUUGAGAGGCCACCAGCACGCUGAAAACAUCAACGUGUUUUAUGAUCCAUUGUAAUGAACAAUGACUUUUUGUGGACUGGUCUUCUAAACCAUGCCUUUGCCUAUUAUCUUUGAUUGUCAUAUAUGUAAAUAGGGUUUAUAGGUAACUACUUUACAACAUUUGUUUUGUAAUAUAGUUCAGUAAUUGCUGGAAAAAUCAGAACCUCUCCACACAAAAUAGAAAUUUCCAUUAAUAUAAUUGGUAUACAUUGGUGCGGAAAUCUCUAUCUAUUCCCACAUUAUUUAAAAUAGUUUUUGUAUGGAAAUGUUCUGAUUUCUUCAGUAAAUAUAUAUAUUAUAAUUAUAGUACUUAUUUAACCUGAAAUACAGUAAGUUAAGAUAAAUAGUUGACAUUAAGAGGAUAAAAACAAAGUAAACCUUGCAUUGAUGAUCUUUUUAUGACGUACCGAGAUAUACCUCUGCUCACUGACGGUGCGAGAUGACAAAAUGUCAAACGAUGCGAGUGUAGGUAGAGACGCGGAUAACAGACAGCUGCGGUGUGAAGGAUAUACUGUACAACAAAAACAUAAAGCAGAACGUCGACUUUCCGAGCGAAGGUCGCUACCAACUUCCCGACGAAAGGCCUUCGCUCGAAACGUCGAAGUUCUGCUUAUCUUUUUUCAGGUCGUUGUAUAUCCUUCACAUCGCAGCUGCAAUAUAACAACACUAUUUAACAAGUAGAUAAGAUUUUGCCGUUGUCUGUUCAGUUAUAGAUACACAGUAUGACGUCAUAAUGUGGGAAGAACAAAAAAGUGGCUCACGAGGCGAGUGGGUCACUUUCUUGUUCUUCCCGCCACAUUAUGAUGUCAUACUGUGUAUCUAUAAUUGAACAGACUAUACAAAUAAGACGUCUAUAGAGAGUUGCACGACGUCUAUAGAGAGUUGCAUUUCGCAUUCUCCUUGGUACCUCUGAGUUAUUAUUGUAUUAAUCCUACUGUUGUUGAGAACAAAGUGAAAGGAAUUAAACAUUUCUAAUCCCCGCCUUUUAAUGUACACUUAGCAUACCUACUGUUUUUCCAGCCACACUGCCUUGCUUGUGGAAUGGCCUCCCAGAUAGACUAAGAAAUAAAUGUUCUCUUAGUCAAUUUAACUUGGGUGUGCGGCACCUGGCCAGUUAGAUAAUGAGUUUAUGAAAUUUUAUUUAUUUGAUCAUAGUAGAGUAAUUAUAAUUGUAUAAUUGUAUUGUAAUGUGUUAGUCUUGUAUAUAUAUUUAUCCUAAUUGAGUGUAACGUUUGUAUUUUUAA